GACGAACGCUGGCGGCGUGCUUAACACAUGCAAGUCGAACGGAAAGGCCCUGCUUUUGUGGGGUGCUCGAGUGGCGAACGGGUGAGUAACAAGUGAGUAACCUGCCCUUGACUUUGGGAUAACUUCAGGAAACUGGGGCUAAUACCGGAUAGGAGCUCCUGCUGCAUGGUGGGGGUUGGAAAGUUUCGGCGGUUGGGGAUGGACUCGCGGCUUAUCAGCUUGUUGGUGGGGUAGUGGCUUACCAAGGCUUUGACGGGUAGCCGGCCUGAGAGGGUGACCGGCCACAUUGGGACUGAGAGACGGCCCAGACUCCUACGGUAGGCAGCAGUGGGGAAUAUGGCACAAUGGGCGGAAGCCUGAUGCAGCAACGCCGCGUGCGGGAUGACGGCCUUCGGGUUGUAAACCGCUUUCGCCUGUGACGAAGCGUGAGUGACGGUAAUGGGUAAAGAAGCACCGGCUAACUACGUG
rnacentral:rRNA from 1 species